AUAAUAGGAACUUGCUAAGAAAACUUAACAUUUUUUAAUUUAACAAAUUUAAAAAUUGAGAAUAAUCCCUAAUAUCAAAUAUUCAGUUUAUAUUUAAAUACCCUUCCUUUUCCUCAAAUACCUUUUAUCAUUUCUUUUUCCCCUGGCCCAGGAUUUAAUCAGUGCUUAUUUGCUGAAUGUGAUUUUUAACUUUUGUUUUUGUUCUAGAUCCUCUAGGGCCUCACCCCCAGGUCUUGAUGGUUAACUUUUUUUUUUUUUUUCUGGUGCUGGAGGUGAAGCUCAAGGUCUUGCACAUGCUGAGCACAUGAUCUAUCCCUGAGCUAUACCUCCAGCCCUUCUUAACUCUUUUUAAUUUACAUGAGUCUCCCUCUUGUUUUGUUUUUAACAACUUUGACAUUUUUAGGAAUUCAGUCCUGCUUUCUUAUAGAUUCCUAACCUUCUGGAUUUAUCUGAUGUGUCCUGAGGGUGUCAUGUUAUCCUGUCGUCUACGUGCUGUCAUUCCUGUAGUUUUUUAAACUGGAGUUUGGGGGAGCUGGGGAUUUAGCUCAGGGGGGCUGGGGAUUUAGCUCAGUGGUGCCACGCCUGCCUUGCAAAUGCAAGGUCCUGAGUUUGAUGCACAGUAUUGCAAAAAAAAAAACAACACAAAAACCCUGGAGUUUAGGCCUGUGACCCUGGUUUCUCUCCAUCACAUUCUUCACACUGUGACUCAGAAUAUCCUCCUGUAGCUGUUUAUUAUGUCAGUCCCCACACGAAUGUGAGCUCCGUGGGAGCCUGGAUGUGUGUCUGUGUAGAGACCUGCCCUGAUUGGUGAGUAAGUACAGAGUGGGCCUUCAGCAUGGAUUCAUGAAAUGAAUCAAUCCAUCACAUUCAGUGGCUUUAUCAGCCUCAGCACCAUUUAAUAUCUACUGAGAAAUCACUAUAAUAAUUUGUCCUGUUUCUUAGAAUAUCUCAAUUUUUUAAGCCCCCAAAGUCUAAGAAUGUCUGUAUCUUAUACUCAAACUUGAUGUUUUGCCCUAGCAUUUUUUGUUUUGAUUUUGAAUGUUUUUUUGAGACAAGGUUUUGCUUUGUAGUGCAGGCUGGUCUUGAACUCACUAUGUAGCCCAGGUUGACCUCGAACUCAAGGCAACCUUCCUGCCUCAGCCUCCUAAGUGCUGGGAUUACAGGUGUGCACCACCAUGCCUGGCUUGUCCUAGCAUUUUGAAGACAUGCUUGGUUUUCCUCUUCCAGUGUGGAAGGCCCAAAUCUAUUUUUUUUAAUUUUAAUUUUUAUAUUUUAUGUUUGCAGCAUACAAUGAUUGCAUCCAUCACGGGGAGGUGAUACCUGUACAUAACACAUCUUAGUUCCUUUUACAUUCCCUUCCCCUCAUUUCCCUCCCACUUGAGCUUGCAGAUCUCUUUUUAUGCUGCAGCUGGUUGCAUAGCCAGACGUUCCAUGGACAUGGCCUGUUUUCUUUUCCCUGUCUUUGUUAUUUCUGCUGCUUCCUUGAUCAGAAGCUGAUAGUUUGCUCUUUUUUCAUUUCUCUGGGAACUCUGAUCCCACAGAGAUCAAGAUAGAACUAUUGGGAGUGGGCAGAAUUGUAAAGAUAAGCUCCAACCUGAGUAGUAGGCUCUUUUCUUUUUUGGUUUGGGGGAUCGAACCUGGGACCUUGUGCUUUCGAGGCAAGCACCGGAACCAGUGAGCUAAAUCCCCGGCCCCUCUUUUUGACAAAGAGCUAACAUUUCCUGAAUUCGUGUCAUUAUCAGAGUAAUGUAAUUGGCACCAUGCUCAGCACUUUACAUGUGCUCUACCAUUUAAUCCUUCUGCAACCCUUUGCCAUAGCAACUUUUGCUCUAUCAAGUCCACCAAACUAGAAACUGCCAAUGCCAGGCCCCAGCCCAGAAAAAGCCUGACCCCAGAGACUACCGAAAGCCACUUUUCUUAACUGCCUCUUCCAUUCUUUCCAGAUCUCCCCAAACUCAGUUUCCUGGCUGCCAAAGCAAGCUCUGCACUUCUGCCUGGGGGUUGGGAUGAAGCUAUGAAACAACCCUUCCAUUCAUUCAGUGAAUGCUGUGGAAAAAGUGCUUCCACGGCAAGUUUUUAGGAAUAUAAAUGCCAAAAACUCCAGUGAUGUUUAUUUUGUUUCCCAAAUCUGUACCUUUCUGAGAUCAUCACUCCCAGCCUCCUCUAGUGACUCUGCAAGCUAAGGAAUUGUCAUCUCUCUUAUAAGAAACCUGUGUGGCACAAGGUUAAUGCUUGGGCAGUUUCCAUUAUGUGAAAGUCCCUUGGGUUGCACUGCACAGUGUACUAAUUAUGAUCCCAAUAAUCAGAUUUCUGGAUGACAUUUUCACCUGGGAUAUCAGAUGCAUUCCAUCAAGGCCACAGAUGGACAAAUGAAGAUCAAGACAUGGUGACAAAUGCCAGCUACUUUGCUAGCGAACCUGAAAAGCCUUUUGCCCAGCAGAGGGCAGUCACAAACUUGGCUGGGAGAAGGAGACCUGCAGGCUCGCGCGGAUCGGCCCAGCAUGCACUCAGCGUCCAGCAGAGGGCGCGUGCGUGCCAGUGUUAACCUUGAUGCUUGCUUGUUCCGUAAUCCAGCUGUGGAACAACAAAUCAGAGCAAGCCACCGAGUCCUCUUGAGAGCUGAUGACCAAGAUACUUCUGUGGUGUGGGACAGCAAGGUCACGCAUAGCCCUGUAUAUUAACAACGCUGUCUUGAAGCUCUGGAAAAAGUGGUGACCAAGUGUUCAGCUACAGUCUUGUUCUGUCUUAGUCUCCAGGCUGGCAUGGAUCAGAAACGGAGGAGAAUAUUGAAGCAGCAUCCCAAAUAUUAGUUCUGAAAAACAAAUGGAUACGGAAGAACAAACGAGCACCUUGAGAUCCAACCAUGGCCCAAAGAGGCUGCAGAUGAGUUGCCACGCCCUGAGGUGCCUCUCGGGGAGCCCUGGAGGCUCUGACUGACUGGAGUCACAUGUCACAGGGUUGCUGACAGGGUGUUUGCUGUGCUCGUCAUCCUGGAUUGAACCCUGAGGUGCUCUACCACAUCCUGAGCUCUGUUUAUUUAAUUUUGAGACAUGGUCUCACUAAUUUGCCAGAUUGGGUUUGAACUUGUGAUCCUUCUGCCUCAGCGUCCUAAGCAGUUCCUGUCUGCAGGCCUGGGGUGGUGCCCAAGACCACAGAAGGAAUGCUCCCGACACAGUCACACAUGGUCCUGUUGGUUGGAGUUGGUCAUUCCUGACCUUGACAUCAACCAUCUUAAUCUCCAGAAAUAGGCUAAAUGCUAGUCCGGCCACUUGUGUCUCUUCAUCAUCUCCAGGGCGACUGCAUAUUUCCAGCCUCUGUGCUCCAGGAUCUAAUAAUAGGUGGGAUGAAAAGACUGUUUCCUCUGAUGCACUUUUAUGAGAUGUUUUCAAAGAGGAUGCGGUGGGGGAAUGGAUAAGCUGCUCGCUCAGUACAGUGAGGCGUCAGAAUGACGGGGCAGGGAAGCCCCACCUUCCCAGGGAGCUCUUGCUCAAGACAGCCCAGUUGUUAGAGGGCCAGGAAUCCGGGAACAUCAAGGCAGCCUCAGACCUUGUAACCUAGAUGUCAUUGUGCUUUUCAGGCAAUGAUGCCUGAUCACUGCAGGCAGAAGUGUGGCCAAAGGGCACCUAUGGGCCCGAAGCCCUUUCCACAGCAGCUCUGCUUGGGUAAUGGUGCUUCAUUAAGCCUGUGAUGUUUAGGGAUGUCAGACAUCUCCUUAACCCUGAAACACCUUUUGCUCGUGAGUGGUAAAGAGUUGGAUUUCUUAUCAGAAGAAUAUUUUAGCUAUGUGCCCUGGAGAGGAACUACUGUCCCCAUGAGGGGACAGCAAAGCCUCAAGGACAAAGGGAUUUCCUAGAGACAAUGUCAGGAAGGAGGGAGGUACAGAAGGGGACUCUGGAGUCAGCCUGGAAGUUGGGGUUGAGGGAACUCAUUAAAUCUGUUAAGAGGAGCCUAGAUGUUUUGAGCAAGAACAGGGCAGCACCAAAGCUGGGAGAGAUUGUGAAAAUGGUUCAGUGUUUCUGGAGUCUGGGAGGAGAAACUUAAUUAUGCUAUUUAAUUAAACCAAAAGGAAGGGAAUAGAAUA